GACGUAGGGCGCGAGCGUUUGUCCGGAUUUAUUGGGCGUAAAGAGCUCGUAGGCGGCUUGUUGCGUCGACUGUGAAAACCCGCGGCUUAACCGCGGGCUUGCAGUUGAUACGGGCAGGCUAGAGUUCGGUAGGGGAGACUGGAAUUCCUGGUGUAGCGGUGAAAUGCGCAGAUAUCAGGAGGAACACCGGUGGCGAAGGCGGGUCUCUGGGCCGAUAUUGACGCUGAGGAGCGAAAGCGUGGGGAGCAAACAGG
rnacentral:rRNA from 1 species